AGGAUGAACGCUGGCGGCGUGCUUAACACAUGCAAGUCGAACGGUGAACCAGGGGCUUGCCUCUGGGGAUCAGUGGCGAACGGGUGAGUAACACGUGAGCAACCUGCCCCGAUCUCUGGGAUAAGCGCUGGAAACGGCGUCUAAUACCGGAUAUGAGCUUCCAUCGCAUGGUGGGGGUUGGAAAGAUUUUUCGGUUCGGGAUGGGCUCGCGGCCUAUCAGCUUGUUGGUGAGGUAAUGGCUCACCAAGGCGUCGACGGGUAGCCGGCCUGAGAGGGUGACCGGCCACACUGGGACUGAGACACGGCCCAGACUCCUACGGGAGGCAGCAGUGGGGAAUAUUGCACAAUGGGCGCAAGCCUGAUGCAGCAACGCCGCGUGAGGGAUGACGGCCUUCGGGUUGUAAACCUCUUUUAGCAGGGAAGAAGCGAUAGUGACGGUACCUGCAGAAAAAGCGCCGGCUAACUACGUGCCAGCAGCCGCGGUAAUACGUAGGGCGCAAGCGUUAUCCGGAAUUAUUGGGCGUAAAGAGCUCGUAGGCGGUUUGUCGCGUCUGCUGUGAAAACCCGAGGCUCAACCUCGGGCCUGCAGUGGGUACGGGCAGACUAGAGUGCGGUAGGGGAGAUUGGAAUUCCUGGCGUAGCGGUGGAAUGCGCAGAUAUCAGGAGGAACACCGAUGGCGAAGGCAGAUCUCUGGGCCGUAACUGACGCUGAGGAGCGAAAGGGUGUGGAGCAAACAGGCUUAGAUACCCUGGUAGUCCACCCCGUAAACGUUGGGAACUAGUUGUGGGGUCCUUUCCACGGAUUCCGUGACGCAGCUAACGCAUUAAGUUCCCCGCCUGGGGAGUACGGCCGCAAGGCUAAA
rnacentral:rRNA from 1 species